ACCUCCAUAACAUUGGGCCGGACCGGGCUUGACAUGGGCCGGGCCUUACUGGGCUUGUUAUGACAAUCCACUAUGAUUCAUAACACUCCCCCUUGGAUGUCAUAACCUUCGUGAGCUAGUAAUACGCUUGGGGAUGUUGCCUCAUUAAAACCUUACCAGGAAAACCCAUUGGGAUAAAACCGUGGUGAAGGAAAAAGAGUACAACACGUAUUACUCCCCCUCAUUUGAAGCUCACUGAAGAUCUUUAAGCCGUCGCAUUCCAAUCUGCUUGAUAAGCUUCUUGAGCGUUGAAGUUGGAAGCGACUUGGUGAAUAGAUCCGCCGAGUUGUCACAUGAUUGAACUUCUCCGGCUUUCUGUAAUUCAUGAGUGAAGAAGAACUUUGGCAAGAUGUGCUUCGUCCUAUCUCCUUUGAUGUAUCCAUCUUUGAGCUGAGCUAUGCAGGCAGCAUUGUCCUCAUACAUUAUUGUUGGUGCUGCCUUCCCUUCGGUCAUCCCACAAUCGAUCAUAAUAUGUUGGGUCAUGGACCUCAACCAAACGCAUUCACGGCUGGCUUCAUGCAUCGCCAAGAUUUCAGAAUGGUUGGACGAUGUUGCUGCGAUCGUUUGCUUUUGAGAUCGCCAAGAUAUUGCCGUUCCACCGUACGUGAAAACAUAGCCAGUUUGUGAUCGACCAUUGUGCGGAUCCGAGAGAUAACCUGCAUUAGCAAAACCAACUAAUCCCUCCUUGGGAUGGUUAGUGUAAAAUAAACCCAAAUCUUUCGUACCUUGUAGAUAACGAAGAAUAUGUUGUAAUCCCGUCCCAGUGCAUUUGGGUUGGACAAUGAGCUAAAUCUUGAUAAUAGAUUCACGGCAAAACAUAUAUCAGGCCUUGUGUGGCUCGCCAGAUACAUUAAAGCUCUUAUGACACUGAGGUAUGACUUUAUGGACUGAAUGGAUCACUAUCCAAUCUUAGGCUUCUCACCACCAAUGGGCCUGGUCAAUGGGCGGGCCUAGUCCUUAUAAAUUUCCUUUGAGUACCCUUUAUUGUAUGCCAUUUGAUGCACAAGGAUUUCAUUAUUUAUGUACUCAAGGUGUAAUUCCAAACAGGACUUAUUUGAUGCCUAGGUCUUUCAACUGUUUGGUCGAUUACCCAGAGGUUCAUAUACACUGCUUAUGAUUACAAAUCCUUUGUUUGCAAACCUCUUUAUGAGUAUUCAUGGACUGAUGGGAUCGUUUAUAAUCUUACAUACGCCCAUUUAUUCUAAGUCCAUGAAAGGAUUUGUCCAGCCUUAUGCGCAGUGAUGUUCUCGAGAACCUUUCUUAUAUUUGAGCUCAAUACUCUCUGGUAAUCUCUUAUAUUAUCCAGUGGACUUAUAUAAAUAUGCAGGCAUUACAUCCAUUAGCCGCAAAUGAAGUCUUUUCAUUUAUAUAGCCAGACUUAGCAUCCACCACAUGGGAGCAUAUCUCCUCAUAAUAUAUUCAUGGUCUAUGUGAGGAUCCUUGUGCAAUAUGCCGUGCUUUAUAUAUCACGAUAUCACCAUAUUUAUUUCUUUUCCUCACAAAGACCCAUUUAUGUCCAACUGGCUUUAUAUCGAGAGGUGGCCUUAUACAUUCCUCUUCUCCACAUAUUUAAUCCAAUCUGUGCAUUGAGUGCAUUCUUAUUAUGGACGUGGGUUAUCUCCACAUAUUUAAUCCAAUCUGUGCAUUGAGUGCAUUCUAUUAUGGACGGGGUGUUAUAGACUAGAGAGAAUAGAGAGGGAAAUAGGAUGCUUUAUUCAUUAGGUUAAAGCCAUAUAUAUAGGUUCAUACAAAGGAGGUUACAAGUAAACCCUAAUACAAGUUACACCUCCAUAACAUUGGGCCGGACCGGGCUUGAUAUGGGCCGGGCCUUACUGGGCUUGUUAUGACAAUCCACUAUAUUCAUAACACUCCCCCUUGGAUGUAAUAACCUUCGUGAGCUAGUAAUACGCUUGGGGAUGUUGCCUCAUUAAAACCUUACCAGGAAAACCCAUUGGGAUAAAACCGUGGUGAAGGAAAAAGAGUACN
rnacentral:lncRNA from 1 species